GGGGGUGAACUGGCUUCGACGCUGAGGGUUGAAGCGACGGAAGCGAGCCGAGGUACACCGGAGUCCUCGUUAAACAGCCGGUACAACGUAUACAUGCCGACGAUAUGGCAUUGGCUGCCUGAUUAGGUAGCUCAUCUGCCCGGGUAGUACCCGCCUCCCGGAUCCAGGUGUCACUCAGUGGGUUGCCGUCCCCGGGAUGUCGGGACUGGGGGCGAAAGAUGAAUUCCGACUAGGACGGGUCGAGAGAAUGUGCCAACGGCUACUCGCCCGCUCCGAAAUUGCUCGCUGUUGGCUGCGCUCGGAGAUGCCGGCGCGGAUGUCUCAGCGGACCGGGGUUCGACUCCCCGCACCUCCACGA
rnacentral:tmRNA from 1 species